GAAUAAUGUGACAAGGGAAUUGCAGAGUAAAAACACUUGUUGUUUUGUUCUUGGUCCCUUAACUUAGGGGACAAAGCCCUUGAGGAAGGAAAAGCAAAUUUAAGGUUAUAAUUCAGUCCAGAAACACUCAACAUAUAUAUAUAUAUAAUUAGACAGAAAAAAGAAGUCAAGGCAGCCUUGUGUUUAUUGCACUGGCUCCAUCUCCUGUGCUUUUGGCACUGUGUGUUUCCAGCUGAGCUCCAGCCAGUUGACUGGGUGCUUAAAUAUCCUUCAGCAGGAUAAACAGCUGAGGAAGCCCUGCUGCUCACUCACUCACAGAGCCUUUGGAGGGUGCUCAGCUUUAAAGGAAUUUGCCCGGGGGAAGAAGACAGCUGCUGCCCUGAUGAGGGAUUUUUCUGAGCAGGCCUCCCGAGCCAGACAUGUCAGUGUGAGAUGCUGCCCACGGUUUUCAUCGUGACCAACAGGUUGUUAAACUACAAUCAAAAGCACUUAGCACAAAUGGAACUGUCCCUGUCUUGAGAUUUGAACUCCUGACAUCUUUAUCCGCUGAAACUUGAGUGCCCAGGUAACUACUAAUUAUUCAAGCAUUUACAACCAUUACUAUCAAUAUAAUUAGCACAUCUUGAGAUAAAAGUGAGAAUGUCACUAUGAAAUUAUCAUUCCUGGCAUUUAGAUAGCAAUCUUUCAUGAAAACAUUUAUAAGCUGCCCAAUUAUUUUUCAAUCAAACAAAGAAAAAAAUUAUUUACAUUUACAGGGAAUCUAGAACUGAAAAGAAAUCAUUUCUAGCAUCAAAAAUUAUAGAUGUUGUCUCCAUAUGUCCAUUUCUUGAAUAAAAUAAAUCCCACCAACUUCUGUAUUGGUGGU
rnacentral:lncRNA from 1 species